rnacentral:rRNA from 1 species
CAGUUGUCGUGCCAACGGCAUAGCUGGGUAGCUAUGUAUGGACGGGAUAAGUGCUGAAAGCAUCUAAGCAUGAAGCCCCCCUCGAGAUGAGAUUUCCCAACUUCGGUUAUAAGAUCCCUCAAAGAUGAUGAGGUGAAUAGGUUCGAGGUGGAAGCGUAGCGAUACGUGGAGCUGACGAAUACUAAUCGAUCGAAGACUUAAUCAA